rnacentral:rRNA from 1 species
GAUGAACGCUGGCGGCGUGCCUAAUACAUGCAAGUCGAGCGAACGGACGAGAAGCUUGCUUCUCUGAUGUUAGCGGCGGACGGGUGAGUAACACGUGGAUAACCUACCUAUAAGACUGGGAUAACUUCGGGAAACCGGAGCUAAUACCGGAUAAUAUUUUGAACCGCAUGGUUCAAAAGUGAAAGACGGUCUUGCUGUCACUUAUAGAUGGAUCCGCGCUGCAUUAGCAAGUUGGUAAGGUAACGGCUUACCAAGGCAACGAUGCAUAGCCGACCUGAGAGGGGGGCUAGGCAACCUGGGACUGAACAAGGGUCCAGACCCCUCAGGGAGGGAAAAGGUGGGAAAUUUUCCAAAUGGGGGCAAGGCCUGAAGAAACAACCCCGCGUGGGGAAGAAGGCGUCUGGGUGCGAAAAACUUUUUUGUUAGGAAAAAAAAUAUGUGUAAGUCACUGUGCAAAUCUGGAGGGUACCAAACAAAAAACCCCCGACAAAUUCGUG